rnacentral:rRNA from 1 species
GACGAACGCUGGCGGCGUGCUUAACACAUGCAAGUCGAACGGAAAGGCCUGCUUUCCCUUGUGGAUUGCGGGUACUCGAGUGGCGAACGGGUGAGUAACACGUGAGUGAUCUGCCCCCAACUUGGGGAUAAGCCUGGGAAACUGGGUCUAAUUCCCGAUAGGACUGCAGGGUGGUGCCUGUGGUGGAAAACGAUUUUCUAGUGGUUGGGGAUGAGCUCGCGGCCUAUCAGCUUGUUGGUGGGGUAAUGGCCUACCAAGGCGGCGACGGGUAGCCGGCCUGGGAGGGUGGACGGCCACAUUGGGACUGAGAUACGGCCCAGACUCCUACGGGAGGCAGCAGUGGGGAAUAUUGCACAAUGGGCGGAAGCCUGAUGCAGCGACGCCGCGUGGGGGAUGACGGCCUUCGGGUUGUAAACUCCUUUCGACCGCGAGGAAGCCACCUGGUUGGAAGGGUGGUGACGGUAGUGGUAGAAGAAGCACCGGCUAACUACGUG